rnacentral:lncRNA from 1 species
GAGGAGGAACACGAAGUCACCAGGGCCCAGGUUAGAGUGUUGUGUUAGUGUGUCGUAGAAGGUUAUGGAACCCUCGAGUUAGCGUAGCACCGAUAACGGUGCUACGAGUUAGAUCGAGUCGUAGAUACUCAUAGUUAUUAUUGUGAUUGUGGUUGAUUGAUUUGCUUGCAGGUUAUGACAUUAGUCCUAAGUCUGGUUUAGGUACCAGAUUAGGCUUGAU